GGGACCUCUCCGACCUUUCUACUAGGAGACUAUGCUGGUUCUGAAAUUAUGAUCAUAUAUUUAUGAAGUUCUUUUUUUCUUGAACUCAUGUUCUUUUUAUUCUGUCGAUCAGGUACUUCAUGGCAGCGCUGUGGACAGCAUCACCGUAACCACAUUGAUGGUCCAAGUCCCAGCUCACAACAUCACUUUUUAGUUCUGCUGUGAGCACCUCAACAGCUCAACGUCAGCUAUUAUUGAUGUAGCUGCAUAUAGUCAUUCUAUGAUCUAUUUUGGCUACCAUCAUUUUUAGGUGGGCCGUGAGCACCUCAACCACUCAAUAUGAUCUAUACCAUGAUUUAUGAAAUGAGUUGUUUAUGUUAAUCUUUGCUUGUGCUUCUUAUUACAUAGUGAUAAAGUGUCUUCUAUUUAUGUACUCUUCCUUACAAUCCCAGUUAUCCAUGUUUAUGUACAUGUCUUCUGUCUCUGAUUUGCAGGUUGUUAUGCUGGUUUUCUCUAAGCUUGAAAUAUACGUAGCCUAUAUAUCUACAAAAAGGGAUCAAGAACUAUAUGUGGGCUACUCAUUAUAGUCGCUGUCGAUAUUAACUCUUUUGCAUGUUUGCAUCUGAAUCAAUCAUCUGCUCUCUACUAAAUGUAUGUGAGCUACUCAUUUGGUUAUAUAUGAGCUACUCAUUUGGUUAUACUGUGUAAAUAGGAAUCAAUAAUAAAAGUAGAUGGUACAAAGUUGUGCCCCCUAGCUUUUUUCCCAUUGGUCUUGCUAAGCAAGUUAAUGUAUAUCUUCAUUUAUAUAGCAUCUCUACCGUUCCAAUAUGUUUAGCUAUAUAUGUUCACUUGGUCCCUUAGUUACUUCCUCGGCCCUCUUGGCUGCCACCGAAUAGAUUUUUAUAUUUUUGUAUAUCUUGCUCAGCGUCCUAUGCUCCAUAUACGCUUUCCUAUAUAUUUAUAAAUUUUCAUCUGCAUUAAAGUGAUACAUAUAUGUGAUGAUUUCUGACUUGACUUAUGCUAGGAUUAAUCCUGCAGCAAUCGGUAUAGUCAGUGUUGUCUGGAUGUGUUGUACCAUAUUAGAUUAUGUGUUCUGCCCAGCAGGGAUUAUUUAUCGAUGCUUCUUGGUGUAUCUAGAGAGUCUGAUUAGAGAGAAGUCAGUUCACAUCUCAGUGGCUUUUGUUGUUUAAUUUACACAACAUGUGCAGGUUCAUAUAGCAGUAUGCAUGUGUGAAUAUAAACUCUUCAUGCAAUGUGGCAGUAAAAGGCCUUUCGAUUUUACCUUAGGCACUACAGGCAGCUAAUAGAUAGGCCCAUUGCUUGCAUGAUGAUAAGUUUUGAACUGACGGUGUUCUUGACAAUAGUUGCAUCAGUGCACACGAGGUCCAAAGAAGCAUUGUUUCAUGUUUCAUUUACUUUUCUAUUGCAAUCACUCAUCCAAAAAGAAUAUUCAGUGCACCUGUAAAACAUCUAACAAAAAUAAUCAUAGACCCUUCUUUCUAAAUCAGAAUAUAACAGUACUAAAUCAGCUAGAUGGGUUGUAGAUGCUUUGUUACUCAAUGAUAGGAAAAAAUGUUAGCUGCGCUCUUGACCUACCUACCAGCUACUGACCGCCCUAUCCAUUUCCCUCUCCAAGUUCAUAUACUUUCUUUGUUGGCCCAAGACACAAAGCAAGUUCUGCGUUUGUUGUGUUCAUUCGUUCCUGAUCAACGAUUUUCUUUUCCAGAUGACCCAUUUGGUUUCCACUCCGUUACUUUCUACUUUGCUGAUAGAAAUUGAAGGAUCUGCGUGUUUGUAAUCUUAGAACUUUCGGUCAUUUUAGAACUUUCGGUCAUUUGUAAUCUCUCCAUGGCGCUUGCCGCUCUGACAGCGAUUUUGAAACAAUUAUUACCUGAUAAAAGAUGAAAGUAGAAUGCUUAUGUUAUUUAAUUUUGUCCGUUCAUGCUUAUCCUUUUGGGUACUUCUGAAGGAACUUUUGGGUUGUUUCCUACCCACUAAUAUUAUUUAUCAGAAAAUUCUUUAUUGAAAUCUUGAAUAAGGGAACUAUAAUAAUGCAGAUAAAUAAGAUUUUUUUUCUUAUUUUACAAACAGGUGCAUGUUAUGAUUAUUGUGUUGGGGUGCAAGGCGCAACUCCGACGUGGUUCCUCACCGGUUGGACGGCGUUCAGGCGCAACCCCGGCGCCCACUGAGUACUGCCUCGGCUAUAACCUCCCCCGGUGAGAUCCAUCUUCCUCCUGCUCCUCUGCUUCGGCAACUGCAUGGGACAUGGCCGUGGCUAUAUUGAUGUUGUGCUCUUCUCAUUGAUGCUCUAUGGCCUACUCAUGCAUCGGUUCCUACUCGGGCUCUGUAGUUGUCGAUCCAUGCUAUUAUAGGGUUUGCAGGUUGCUGUUAGUGAUCAAUUGCUAUCAUAGGAGCUCCUGUGAUGCUCUGGUUUACAUGUGGAUGCCCUGGUCCUAUAGCUGUGCUCCUGGAUUUGCUUGAUUGAUCAGUGGCGUUCGUGCUAGGGCGAUGAUGAUUAACCGUGGCUGAAAUAAGUGUGCCUUUGAGCGAUCGAGGUACCUGUCGGUAUCAAGUUGGAUCCUCCCUCUUGUCUCUAGAAUCCUUUUUGAUAUUGUGAUACUUGUUGUUCUGUCCUUGGAUGGUCAUUCUUGUUGAGUGAUAACCAGGACAGAUCCACUGUAUCCCAUCCCCUUGUUAGAGUCUGAAGCAAAAUGGAGCUCUCCCGUUCGUUUGGAUUCUCGACCGUUCGAUUGUCUGUCCAAACGAAUCCCGGCCGUCCGAUCUUCAGAUGAAACAAUCUGGACCGUUGGAUCUCAGACAGGGCCGGUCUCGUCCGUCGGGUCGAAAACGAGACCGCUGCAAUGCCCUGGUCGCGCCACCGCGCGUGAAUAGCCUGCCCCGCCGAUGUCGUUCUUGUCAUUUCAUCCAUAGGCGUAUAAAACCAGCACACCCAUGGUGACCCUAGCUGCCUCUCUCUUCCUCCCGCCCCUCACGCCACCACCCUACCUCCUGUUCAUGCUCAGUUGCUAUCAUAGGAGCUCCUGUGAUGCUCUGGUUUACAUGUGGAUGCCCUGGUCGUAUAGCUAUGCUCCUGGAUUUGCUAGAUCGAUUAGUGGCGUUCGUGCUAGGGCGAUGUUGAUUAACCGUGGCUGAAAUAGGUGUGCCUUUAAGCAAUCGAGGCACCUGUGGGUAUCAAGUUGGAUCCUCCCUCUUGUCUCUAGACUCCUUUUUGAUCCUGUGAUACCUAUUGACCUGUCCUUGGAUGGUCAUUCUUGUUGAGUGAUAACCAGGGCGGCUCCAUUGUAUAAACAGAUUGAUGUGGUGAUAAGAGAUGAGGCGGGUAGGUUAUAUGAUCGAGGAAAGCUGAAUCUGAGCCCACUAUGCAAUGAACCCUGAACCCUUUUUAUUUGUAUUUAAAGGUGUUGCUUAUUUAUGCUCCAGUGUUUAUAACCGUCUUAUGUAAGGAUUUCUUCUCUCUCAUACCUUUAUUGCAUAUGAGUUGUUCUUGAUCUUUUAUUGUUUGUUGGGGGCUUUCUUGUUUUGUUGGGGGCUUUCUUGUUUGGUUGGUGCCUUACCGUCAAGCAGAUCCUUGGAUUUAGCUAGGUUAUCUGUUUCAUUGCUUGGUUUUUUGCCUGUUAAAGAGAAGCUUAGGUCUAUAUGGAUUCCUGAGGUAAUAUCCAUUGUUUCUCAUAGUUUAGUUACAACUGAUUUCCGAGUUCUAACUCCUUCAUGUUAUUUCAUUAUUUCUCCUCUUUGUACCGCUAUUUAUUUCAAAUUCUGAAAUAAGGACGGCCUUGGUGGCUGUAUUUACUUGCGCUUUGUUUAUAUAUGAUUGGUAUUAGAUUCUUUGAGAAAAUUUGUUGUUACAUUAGUGGUCUAGCUAGAUUGCAAGAAAGGGGCUGUAUCUUCCCUUUCGGUGCUCAGCGGGAGGAGUGCGCUCGCCGCCGGCCCUGACGAGAGGUGUCGCCGCCCUGGUCAGAUUUGGCCACCUCCACCACCACCCACUUACAGGAGGCCCCUGCCACUCCUCCUCCAUCGCAUGGUCAUCACUGGGAGGAGCAGCAGCUCUGCCUAGAGGCAUCGCCAUCAGCUAGAGGGCGUCGGACUCUCGUCCUUGCGUUCAUGCACCACUGGGAAGAAGACCCGAGGGGUUGGAUCCAAGAGGCAGAGAUGCAGUCCUCCAGAGAAGAAGAAGAAGAAGAAGAAGAAGAAGAAGAAGAAUUGCAAAGGAUGGCGAGAUUGAGCGUCUGAAGUAAAGCUCAGACCUACACAUGUCCAAGUGUCAGUCGCUUGAAUUGAUUGGGCAGAGGGACAUAGAUAUAAGAGAGAAGGAUGGUGUCAUUCAGAGCUACCAUUAUAAGACAGAUGGGGAGCUGAUGAACCCAGGGUCCUGACAGAUAUACCUCAUCUUCCCAACGGACAACACCUUCCUCGAGGAGGACGACUCCAACUACUUCAGCUAUCUCGGCUGUCCCGGCCUUUUAUGAAAGAUGAAUCAAUGAUUUAUGUCAGCACAAGCUACCGGCAGCUUCCUCGCGUGCAAUGCUAUUUGAAGACCAUUCAAGUGAUUUAAAAGAGAAGAUGUCCAGAAUGUCUAAGAAGAUUGAAGAUGAUGAUCAAAAGAUUGACAUAUUAAGCGAUUGCCAAGAUGUGAAUAAUGCUUGCCCCUGCCUUUAGUAAUACCUUGCUCUUCUUUAUGAAAUCUUUCCUAUUACAUAUUGAUGCAACAACUUGCAAAUUUUGAUAUCCCUAUUUACAUACAUUACUCAGCGGCUGACCUGUACAGAGUUGCGUGGCAGGCAUGUGUUCUCAGCCAUCUUAUCAAUUGUAGGCUUAGCAUAAUUUGCUUCGUCUAACAAUUCCUUUGUUUGUCCAUAUCGAUUCUGAUUUUAGAGGACACAUGUUUUGGUAGGAAGUGUAUUGUUCUUAUGUUUUUUCCGGGUAUAUGCUGAUUGAUGAAGUGACUGAUGUUCCAUAUUAUGAAAUCCCUAAUUAAUGGAUCGCUUGGUAGGUGUAUUUUAUGAAUGCAUAUGCUAAAUCUGGAUCACUGCUAACAUAGCAUUACCUGCUUGACAAAACGUUGACUGGGCUGGAUGACUGGAGGAGGUGUGCGGCAAGCUGGCACUUUCAAAUUUGAUUCAGUUCAU